rnacentral:tRNA from 1 species
UUCAAUGUGGCAGAGUUAUGCAAUGAACUUAAACCUCAUUUAUGAAUUUAUUAUUCUUUUGAAA